rnacentral:rRNA from 1 species
UCAAAACGACUAUCGGCAACGGAUAUCUCGGCUCUCGCAUCGAUGAAGAACGUAGCAAAACGCGAUAUUUGGUGUGAAUUGCAGAAUCCCGUGAACCAUCGAGUUUUUGAACGCAAGUUGCGCCCGAAGCCAUUAGGCCGAGGGCACGUCUGCAUGGGCGUCAC